rnacentral:rRNA from 1 species
UACGGGGGGAGCAAACGUUGCUCGGAAUCAUUGGGCGUAAAGCGCACGUAGGCGGUCUGAUAAGUCGGAUGUGAAAGCCCUGGGCUCAACCCAGGAAGUGCAUUCGAAACUGCCAGACUUGAAUAUGGAAGAGGGUCGCGGAAUUCCCGGUGUAGAGGUGAAAUUCGUAGAUAUCGGGAGGAACACCAGUGGCGAAGGCGGCGACCUGGGCCAAUAUUGACGCUGAGGUGCGAAAGCGUGGGGAGCAAACAGGG